rnacentral:lncRNA from 1 species
UUUUCUUCUACAUCCUGAAUCUUACAAAUCAAAAUAAUUAGAGCAUUUCUAUUUUGGGUAGAAUACAAGAUUAGAUGUUUUAUUUUAUAAAAGUUAUUUUUGUGAUAGCUCUUAUACAUAUGUAGAAUAUGCAUAAUGUGGAUAUUACACCGCUCCAAAGGACGGGUAUACUAACCAUUUUGCCUCGGUUAUUUUUAAGAAACCACAAUAUUGUCAUUAACCUUUGAUAUAUAAUCAGUAUUGACACGACCCACCUCGAAUUUCAUUCUGAAACCCGGAGUAAGUCGUGCGGGGACCACCUCCAAGGAAAAUUUACCGAAAAGAUUGAUAAAAACCUCUCUUGAAAAUGGACAACCCUAACUCGAAAAUUUCAAGUUUACACUCUUAAUACAACACGUCCAAACAUCACAUAAUUAUCCUUCAGAAAUUCUAAACAUAAUAUCAAACGACCGAGCACACCACCGAAAUAAUAUACAAUAAUCCCAAAGUAUUCAGAGCUACUAGACACUAGCGGAAGCAAGAAAACACUAGUAGGUUAAACAGGUAACCUACUGAUGAAAACUGACGGAAAUGCGGGUGACUAUGCCUCGCCUCCUACUAGAUCCAACCCGAACUCUACAGACUGGGCAAUUUAAAACGAAGGACCCAGGAGAAAACAUUUAAUAACGUUAGAGUGAGUGGACAAAAAUAAAAUAAUAAAUAAAAUAUUUAUGUUUUCCCAAAUUAAUUUCUAAGGAAAAAUCAAAUGCAUGCCGCAAGCGAUAAAACUUUUAUCUCAUAAAAUAUCGAGCCUCUCAGACUCUAUAAUAUAUGUAUGUAUUUACACUCGUUCAUACUCCUUAUAUAAAUUCAUGGGUCUAUAUAGGGCUACUACGCUCGCGUCCAACGCUCACGUCACGCCUUAAUGCGGUGCUACACUACGCCAUUAAGGUGGAGAGACAGGUGUAUAAAUAUAUGUCCAUACCCCCUAUAUGAAUUAAACACUCAAAUAGGGCUAUUACGCUCACGUCCAACGCUCACGUCACACCAUAAUGCGGCUAUAUGCUACGCCAUUAAGGUGGACAGACACAUAUGACUAACUAGCAUUUUAUAUACAUACUCUCUCAUAAAUAUAUAUUUAUAUCCACCGAAAAUCCUAUUUUCGGUAACUCUCCAAGAGAAAUAAAAUCGUCAAAAUAAAAUGACGUCAAAAUGCUCCACAACAAUAAUUGUUCAUUUAUGAACUAUAACAUGCAUUUUAUUUAAAACAAAGGUCCACUCACAAAUUAGGCCUAAGCCUGACGUCGAUCUGGGGCCUCGUCUGCUCGAGCCUCCUCACGUCCUGAUCCAAAAAUAAUAUUAAUUUCCCAACUAACAAUCCAAUAUUUAGUCAAAAUAGGCAAAAUUACCCGAGAGCCAUAAAUACGCUCAUCAUUGCCUAACUCCGAUAUUCUUAAAUCGAAACGAUCCGAACUUAAAUAUCAUACUCGGCAGCCGUAAAUACAACCUCCCCAAAAAUACGACUUAAAUCCUACGGCCGGAUUCUACAUUAAUUAACCGCAAAAAAUACCACACUUCGGAAAUUCAUAAACCUAUCCAAAACUCAUCCAAAAAUUUCAUAACUCACUUCAAUAAACUCCCCUUAAUAUUCCAAAUUUAACAACAUUAAAAAUCUCCCAACCGGCGGCUCCGUCGGCAGCGGCGGCCGGAGGCCAAUUCCGGCGACCUCCGAUUUCUAUGAAAUUUUGACAGAAUAAUCCUCUCAUCAUGCUCUACAACUUCCUAACUAGCACAAACAUCAAUUCCAAGCCUAACUAGGGUAAUCGACUAAAAACAUCAAAAACGCUCUAGAAUUUCAACUUCACCUUUCUCCUUACCUAGCUCAAGAGAGGGUGAGCUGUUUGGAGGGGUUGCUGCACGGGAGGAGGGCUACAAAACGAGCCAAGGAUCGCCAGUUUUGGUGGUCGGAGGAGGGAGUUCCGGCGUCGGGAGGCUUAACACAGUCGGACCUCUCGGGCCCGAUAUCUUCCUCACGGCGGCACUAGGGGAGCUGUCACCGGUCCAGGGAUGUAGCUGGGUCGGAGGCCGACCGAACGGGACCGGUGCGACGGUGGUUGGUGGCCGGACGGCGGCGGACAGCCAAGAAGAAAACCGGCGGGGAGAGAGGGCUCGGGUGCGGGAAAACCAGGAGGGAGAGAGAGAAAAAGGGCUGGGCUUUGACCACCCCUUGGCCCGGUUCAACCUUCUUAUACCACCCAAAUCCAAAAUAAAACACCCCGAAAAAUAAUACCUGAAUAAAAAUUGCCUUUUACUAGCUAAAAUUUACCAUUUUUACCGUUGUCAUAUUUUCUCUCACGAAUAAUUCCCCGAAAUUAAUCGUCCCUCAAAACACCUCUAGGACCGAUUAAACUAUUACCUCAAUGACGGAGACGGUAAAAUUCUUAUUAUAAUCAAGCUAGUAAUUAAGAUAAAAAUAUAAGGUCGGGAUGUGACAAUUCUCCCCUCCUUAGAAAAAUUUCGUCCUCGAAAUUUACAUACCUGUCAUCCGAAGAGAUAGGGAUACUGCUGCAUCAUUUGCUCCUCUGAUUCCCAAGUAGCUUCUUCUACUUGAUGACUCCUCCAAAGCACCUUGACAAGCGGGAUUGUCUUGUUCCUAAGCACUUGCUCCUUUCGGUCGAGAAUCUGAACCGGUUCCUCUUCAUAGGACAAAUCCCUCGUCAAACUGAUCGGCUGCUCUUGCAGCACAUGAGAAGGAUCGGCAAUAUACUUGCGAAGCAUGGAUACAUGAAACACAUUAUGUAUCCUAGCUAACUCUGGAGGCAAAAGUAGCCGAUAAGCAAGUGAGCCAACUCGCUCUAUAAUCUCAUAAGGGCCAAUAUACCUCGGACUAAGCUUCCCACGCUUACCGAAACACACAACCCCUUUCCAAGGAGAUAGUUUCAAGAACACCCAAUCACCCACUUGGAACUCAAGAUCUUUCCUACGGACAUCUGCAUAACUCUUCUGCCUACUUUGAGCGGCCUUGAGUCUAUCUCUGACCACUUUAAUCUUCUCAUUUGUAACAUGGAUUAACUCUGGGCCACAAAGCUCUUUUUCCCCCACUUCAUUCCAACACAAAGGCGUGCGACACUGCCUCCCAUAAAGUGCCUCAAAGGGAGCCAUACCAAUGGUAGAAUGAAAGCUAUUAUUAUAGGCAAAUUCCAUCAAAUAUAGGUUUUUAUCCCAACUCCCUCUGAACUGCAAGGCACAAGCCCUUAACAUAUCCUCCAAAGUCUGAAUAGUCCUCUUGGACUGCCCAUCAGUCUGAGGAUGAAAAGCAGUGCUGAAGAGUAAUUGGGUACCUAAAGCUGCCUGAAGAGCUCCCCAGAAUUUAGAAGCAAAUCGUGGAUCCCGAUCUGACACUAUUGAUUCAGGAACACCAUGAAGCCUCACAAUUUCAUUCACAUAAAGCUCCGCCAAUUUAUCUAAUUUAUACUUCUUUCCCACUGGCAAGAAAUGUGCAGACUUGGUGAGUCUAUCCACAAUCACCCAAAUACCGUCAUGCCCAUCACGGGUACGAGGUAAACUAAAAACAAAAUCCAUGGUGAUGUGGUCCCACUUCCACACUGGAAUAGGCAACGGCUCAAGAAAUCCAGAAGGCUUCUGCCUUUCAGCUUUUACUUGCUGACAAACCAGACAUCUACUCACAUAAGCUGCAAUUUCCCUCUUCAUGUUUGGCCACCAAUAAUAAUCCUUCAAAAUCCGAUACAUUUUUGUGCUACCCGGAUGAGCAGCAUAUGCAAAGCUAUGAGCUUCCUCCAUAAUCUCACUCUUCAACUCUUCAUUUCUUUUUGGAACACAUAGCCGGUUCUUAAACAAUAGAGUCCCAUCUCUUCUAACUGAAAAAUGAUUGGCUACGGCUCCAUUCGAAGCUCUUUCCAUCAAUCGAACUACGGAAUGAUCAUUAUACUGUGCUUCCCGCACUCUAUCAACCAAAACUGGCCUCACAUGAAAACUGGCUAUCAAAGCACCAACCUCAUCUACUGAUAAAUCCACUCCUGUAGCUCGCAACUCACAAAGAAGCGGAACACAAACCAUCUUUAUAUGAGAUAAAGAUAUGGAGGGAUUUCGACUAAGAGCAUCAGCUACCACAUUAGCUUUUCCAGGGUGAUACUCAAUAGUGCAAUCAUAAUCAUUUAUUAACUCCAUCCACCUUCUCUGUCUCAUAUUUAGCUCUCUUUGAGUGAAUACAUACCGAAGACUCUUGUGAUCGGUAAAAAUCUGACACUUGGCUCCAUAAAGAUAGUGUCUCCACAACUUGAGAGCAAAAACUACCGCUGCAAGUUCCAGAUCAUGAGUAGGAUAAUUCCCCUCAUGCGGCUUCAAUUGCCUAGAAGCGUAGGCAAUAACUCGAUCAUGCUGCAUCAAAACUCCACCUAGACCACGUCUAGAAGCAUCACAAAAAACCACAUACUCUCCACUAUCAUCCGGAAGUGCCAAAACAGGAGCACUUGUUAAGCAAUUCUUCAAUUCUUGGAAACUUUGCUCACAUUGAUCUGACCAUUCAAACUUAACCCCCUUCCUGGUCAAUCUUGUCAGAGGAGCAGCAAUCUUUGAAAAAUCUUUCACAAAGCGCCGAUAAUAACCUGCUAAUCCCAAGAAACUACGAAUCUCCGUCACAGUGGUGGGUCUUCUCCAAUUUGACACAGCUUCCACCUUUUGGGGAUCCACACUAACUCCUUCUGCCGAAAUCACAUGACCUAAGAACCCCACUUUAUCUAGCCAAAACUCACACUUGCUAAACUUGGCAUAUAACUGCGAAUUUUCCAAAGUCCGCAAUAUUAUUCUUAGAUGCUUGGCAUGCUCCUUCUCACUUCUUGAGUAAACCAAUAUGUCAUCUAUGAAUACGAUCAAGGUAUAGACUAAACACCCUAUUCAUAAGAUCCAUGAACGCCGCGGGUGCAUUAGUAAGUCCAAAUGGCAUCACCACAAACUCAUAAUGACCAUAUCGUGACCGAAAAGCAGUCUUGGCUAUGUCCCCCUCUAGGAUCCGCAACUGAUGAUAACCCGAUCUCAAAUCAAUCUUAGAGAAAACAGAGACACCCCUCAACUGAUCAAAUAAAUCAUCGAUCCGAGGCAACGGAUAUUUAUUCUUCACUGUGACCAGAUUCAACUUCCUAUAAUCAAUGCAUAGUCUCAUGGUGCCAUCUUUCUUCUUAACAAACAACACUGGAGCACCCUAUGGAGACAUGCUAGGCCGAAUAAAACCCUUAUCUACCAACUCCUGCAAUUGAGUCUUCAACUCAUUCAAUUCCGCUGGAGCCAUUCUGUAAGGUGCCUGAGAGAUAGACAUAGUUCCAGGAAGUAAUUCUAUAGAGAAGUCUAUCUCCCUUGCAGGAGGCAAACCAGGCAACUCCUCAUGAAAAACAUCCGGAAACUCCCUUACUACUGGAAUAUCUUCUAAUCCCACAACUCCCAUACUUGUAUCCACCACAUGAGCUAAAUAUGCUUGACAGCCUUUACUCAACAAUUACCUUGCAGCAACAGCGGAAAUUAUGCAACUAAAAAUAACAUCUCUUUCCCCUUGGAAAGCAACCUCAAAACCAUCUGGACUUCGAAGCACCACUACUUUUUGAAAACAAUCUACCAUAGCUCUAUAUGCUUCCAAAAAGUCCAUUCCCAAGAUCACAUCAAACUCCACUAUAUCUAAAGGAAUUAAAUCAGCCUCGAAAUUAACUCAUUCCACUAAAACUUCACAACCACUAAAUACCCAAUUUAUUCUCAUCACCUCACCGGAGGGUAGAGACACAUGCCACUCGCCUGGAAGAGACGAUGAUGGCACAUUGGCAUGGAGGGCAAAUCUACUAGACAUGAAUGAAUGCGUGGCUCCGGGAUCAAUUAAAGUAAAAGCAGGCUGACCAAAAAUUAAUAACGUACCAAUGAUGACAUCUGGAGAAGUACGACCCUCUUGCUGGGUCAUAGCAUGCACUCUAGCGCGAGUCAUGGGACGUCCACGCUAACCACUUCCCCGCUGAGAGCCACCUCUGAUCGAAGCACUGCCCUGGGCACCACUACUAGAGCCUCUAGCUGAAGACUGACCAACUGGCUGAGUAGGGGUGGGGGUCGUCCUCUGAGUCAAUAAUGGACAAUCUCUCCUGAAGUGGUCUUGACUACCACACUCAAAGCACCCAGAAAACUGCUGCUGCCCAUAAGAAAAAGUCUGGCUACUGGAUGACCCACCACGGAAGCUACCACCAGAAUCAUACUGCCCAGACUGCUGCCUACCCAACUGACUCCUAGCAGGUCUCCUGUGACGUCCUCUAACCCUGAACCGAGAAUUAGAACCUGAUCCCCCACUACUGCCACUACUAGCUGAAUAACCAGAAGCGGAUGAUGAAGCAGCUUUCUUGGAUGGACCCUGACUGGGGCCAUCGAAAUCUCGUGGCCGAGCACUAUAAAUCCCCAUAGACUCAAUAGCCAUGGCUGCAUGAACAACAUCAAGGAAAGUCGGGUAAUAAACACCCGUCAUCUUACCUGCAAACACUCCACCAAGUGCCCCAAUGAACAUCUCCAUCCUGGUCCUCUCAUCAGAAACCAGAUAUGACACAUGGUAGCUCAGGGAAGUGAAUCUCUCCUGGAACUCUAUAACACCCUCAUCAUCCCUCUUCUUCAUAUUCAGGAAAUCCGACUGAAUUCUGCUGCAGUGGGCAGGACUAAAAUACUGCCCCAAGAAAAGCGUCUUAAACUGCUCCCACGACAUAUUCAGAGCAUCCUCAACAUUCCUGCUAGCGAGCGACCCCCAGUGAUGUGCUGAAUCAUCCAGGAAAGUCACUGCCAUCUUCACCUUCCUUUCUUCUGGCAAAUCUGUGCUCGCAAAAGCCUUUUCCAUUUUGUCUGCCCAAGUAUAAGCAUCAAAGGGUCCCUUGGCACCCUUGAACUCUCUUGCUCCAGCCUCAUAAACUUCUCUCCUCUUCACUGUAUGAGGGUGUGGCGCUCGAUCUAUAACAUCCCUCAGCAUAUUUCCAAUAUCAUCAACCAGUCCCCUGACCUCAUUGCCCUCUUCGGCAUUGGUCGAAGUAGCCACACGGGGUUGCCGUGGGCGCCUAGGAGGCAUAGUACCUGAGGAAGAAGAAAUUUAGUAGUCCAUAAACAAGACUAACACAACAAUCACACAUACCCAAUAACACAUAGCAUCAAAAGCAUAAAAUGCCAAUAAAUCCGCCGCGGUCGGAUCAUCACUCUAUAAACACUACAUUCUACUUAGGCAAAUAUGAUAAUGACAUGGAAGCAGGAAAAGGAAACCUAAAGCUCUGAUACCAACUGACACGACCCACCUCGAAUUUCACCCUGAAACCCGGAGUAAGUCGUGCGGGGACCACCUUCAAGGAAAAUUUACCGAAAAGAUUGAUAAAAACCUCCCUUGAAAAUGGACAACCCUAACUCGAAAAUUUCAAGUUUACACUCUUAAUACAACAUGUCCAAACAUCACAUAAUUAUCCUUCAGAAAUUCUAAACAUAAUAUCAAACGACCGAGCACACCACCGAAAUAAUAUACAAUAAUCCCAAAGUAUUCAAAGCUACUAGACACUAGCGGAAGCAAGAAAACACUAGUAGGUUAAACAGGUAACUUAUUGAUGAAAACUGACGGAAAUGCGGGUGACUAUGCCUCGCCUCCUAUUAGAUCCAACCCGAACUCUGUAGACUGGGCAAUUUAAAACGAAGGGCCCAGAGGAAAACAUUUAAUAACGUUAGAGUGAGUUGACAAAAAUAAAAUAAUAAAUAAAAUAUUUAUGUUUUCCCAAAUUAAUUUCUAAGGAAAAAUUGAAUGCAUGCCGCAAACGAUAAAACUUUUAUCUCAUAAAAUAUCGAGCCUCUCAGACUCUAUAAUAUAUGUAUGUAUUUACACUCGUUCAUACUCCCUAUAUAAAUUCAUGGGUCUAUAUAGGGCUACUACGCUCGCGUCCAACGCUCACGUCACGCCUUAAUACAGUGUUACACUACGCCAUUAAGGUGGACAGACAGGUGUAUAAAUAUAUGUCCAUACCCCCUAUAUGAAUUAAACACUCAAAUAGGGCUAUUACGCUCACGUCCAACGCUCACGUCACACCAUAAUGCGGCUAUAUGCUACGCCAUUAAGGUGGACAGACACAUAUGGCUAGCUAGCAUUUUAUAUACAUACUCUCUCAUAAAUACAUAUUUAUAUCCACCAAAAAUCCCAUUUUCGGUAACUUUGCUAGAGAAAUAAAAUCGUCAAAAUAAAAUGACGUCAAAAUGCUCCACAACAAUAAUUGUUCAUUUAUGAACUAUAACAUGCAUUUUAUUUAAAACAAAGGUCCACUCACAAAUUAGGCCUAAGCCUGACGUCGAUCUGGUGCCUUGUCUGCUCGAGCCUCCUCACGUCCUGAUCCAAAAAUAAUAUUAAUUUCCCAACUAACAAUCCAAUAUUUAGUCAAAAUAGGCAAAAUUACCCGAGAGCCAUAAAUACGUUCAUCAUUGCCUAACUCCGAUAUUCUUAAAUCGAAACGAUCCGAACUUAAAUAUCAUACUCGGCAGCCGUAAAUACAACCUUCCCAAAAAUACGACUUAAAUCCUACGGCCGGAUUCUACAUUAAUUAACCGCCAAAAAUACCACACUUCGGAAAUUCAUAAACCUAUCCAAAACUCAUCCAAAAAUUCCAUAACUCACUUCAAUAAACUCCCCUUAAUAUUUCAAAUUUAACAACAUUAAAAAUCUCCCAACCGGCGGCUCCGCCGGCAGCGGCGGCCGGAGGCCAAUUUCGGCGACGUCCGAUUCCUAUGAAAUUUUGAAAGAAUAAUCCUCUCAUCAUGCUCUACAACUUUCCUAACUAGCACAAACAUCAAUUCCAAGCCUAACUAGGGUAAUCGACUAAAAACAUCAAAAACGCUCUAGAAUUUCAACUUCACCUUUCUCCUUACCUAGCUCAAGAGAGGGUGAGCUGUUUGGAGGGGUUGCUGCACGGGAGGAGGGCUACAAAACGAGCCAAGGAUCGCCGGUUUUGGUGGUCGGAGGAGGGAGUUCCGGCGUCGGGAGGCGUAACACAGUCGGACCUCUCGAGCCCGAUAUCUUCCUCACGACGGCACUAGGGGAGCUGUCACCGGUCCAGGGAUGUAGCUGGGUCGGAGGCCGACCGAACGGGACCGGUGCGGUGGCGGUUGGUGGCCGGACGGCGGCGGACAGCCAAGAAGAAAACCGGCGGGGAGAGAGGGCUCGGGUGCGGGAAAACCGGGAGGGAGAGAGAGAGAAAAAGGGCUGGGCUUUGACCACCCCUUGGCCCGGUCCAACCUUCUUAUACCACCCAAAUCCAAAAUAAAAUACCCCGAAAAAUAAUACCCGAAUAAAAAUUACCUUUUACUAGCUAAAAUUUACCAUUUUUACCGUUGUCAUAUUUUCUCCCACGAAUAAUUCCCCGAAAUUAAUCGUCCCUCAAAACACCUCUAGGGACCGAUUAAACUAUUAACUCAAUGACGAAGACGGUAAAAUUCUUAUUAUAGUCAAGCUAGUAAUUAAGAUAAAAAUAUAAGGGUCGGGAUGUGACAAGUAUAACAGCUGGGUAUAAUUUGUAUUAAUAAUAUUCUAUGAAGUAUAUAUCAGAAACAUUUCUAUCAAUCAAUUACCCAAUUGACCAGUUUUAUAACGUUGUUUUUGGAUAAAGUAAUUUUAAUGUCCAUAGAAAUUUUAAAAUUAUGGGAAUUACAAUUUCAUGAAUUUUGUGAUAGCUCUUAU